rnacentral:misc_RNA from 1 species
GAAGAUCGCCAUCUCCAGGCGAUGGAUCAGCGUCGGGUAGGCUGUCUGAAUCUCGUGAAGAGCGCGCUUCAGACGCGACGCCAGUUCCUCGGGCUCCUUCAGUCCGUCGUUACCGAUGGGGGGCAGCCCGCAAGCCUCCGGGAGCGUUGUAAAGACCAGACGCAUCGGGUCGCGUGCGUCGAGCAACGCGCGGCGUAACGCCACUGCGGUAGCGGACAAUGUGUUCGUCCUUCGGGAAUAUUCAGGCACUUCCCGGCUGAUGAAGACCGUCAGGGGCCGCACGAGAUCUAUAAGGUCUGUCUUUGCGGCAUCACGAGGGGCAAUCUUCAGGAGCUGCAACAGUCUGCUGAAUACAUCGGCCCGGACGCCCUCGAUCUCGCAAUAUUGCAGGUGGAAGGCGUGCGGGG